UAAUUAUUAUACCUGAUUGUAUUGUUGUAGAGUUAUAGGCAGAGGAAGAAGAAGGAGCCAAUGAAGCAGAAGGAAAGAGAGAGUGCUCAGAGGUGUCUUGAUAAAAGACAAAGACUAUCCCAACACUUGCUAGUUUGAUUUUCUGUUUGCAUAGUUUUAUAUACAACAAUAAUGUCGAGUACACCUUGCUUUUCACCAUGCCUAGAUCAGAUCUGCAGAUCAGAUGAGGUUGCUCAUGCGUCAUGUGAUGAUGUCACUUGAAGAUCCUAUUCUUGCUUUUAUUGUUUGUUUGUGAAGUGUAUGCAGACUCCUAGUUGCCUAUAAAAUAUGAUAGGUGAAGAAGUUUGAGACCAGUUACAACUCAAGAACAUUUUACUGUAUCAAAAACAGAAAAUGGUAUUGUGUUUAUUAGUCUUUUAACUGGAUGCAUUGAAGAUUUUGAGUCAAUUGCAGGUUUAGUAUUCGUGAGAUAACUGCUGCUAAAGUGAAAGGAGAAGGAACCCUCGGGCCUCCAGUACUGUUGGGUGGGGCUAGAUGAUCAGGUGAUAGGUAGGUCGUAGGUGGGAAUAAAAAGCAUUAAAAUAAAAUUAAAGAUGGAUAGAAGUCUCGAUAAUAGUAGUGGGGGGUCAGGUCAGUAUGAACUGAGAUUGAGGUCUCAACACACAACUGCAGUAGUAGGAGAGGCCCUGUACUGCUGGGGAGGGGACCAGGAAGGAUUAUUAUUAUUAUUAUUAUUAUUAUUAUUAUUAUUAUUAAUAAACUCUACAGCACAAUAGUAGAAUGAAAA